rnacentral:misc_RNA from 1 species
UCAAACUUGGUCAUUUAGAGGAAGUAAAAGUCGUAACAAGGUUUCCGUAGGUGAACCUGCGGAAGGAUCAUUAAAAGGUCUAGUCGAAUCUUUGGUAAUUUUCCCAUCGAUUUCGACUUCCUGAUCAUCCCUUAUGUGCACUUUUGAAAUAAUGCUUUGGUAGGUCGAAAGAUCUACCAAAAGUUUUAUCAAAAUAGCCUUAUUUUUUUGUCUGAAAUAAAAAUAUUUUAAUUUUUUAAAAUACAACUUUCAACAACGGAUCUCUUGGCUCUCGCAUCGAUGAAGAACGCAGC